GUUCCUGCACGUUAGACUGUUCCGACUGGUCCGCAGUCCUAGUGACUUGUGUCCUUCUCAAAGAACUGGGCUUGUGGGCCCCAGAUAAUUCCCUGUGCACACAGUUUCUCUCCUGACCUCACUCCCAGCCUGACCUUGGCAGGGGCUAUAGCUCCCAGUUGUGAACCGUAGGUAUGUGUGUGUGCAUACUACUGCAAUUACUGCAUAGGUAGCCCUUUCUUAUUAAGGUACAGAAUACAGUUGCUGGAGUGUUUUUUCUUCUGAGAGACUGUUUAGGUUGUUUAAAACCAUCCAUCCCAAAAGUUUAAAUAAAGCACAUUUAAUUUUAAUUUCUAUUUAGGCAUUUUUUAAAUGCAAACUUUUUUCAUGAAUUUGAAAUCUUUUAACACAUGCUUAACUA
rnacentral:lncRNA from 1 species